rnacentral:rRNA from 1 species
CCUACGGGGAGCUGCAGUGGGGAAUAUUGGGCAAUGGGCGCAAGCCUGACCCAGCAACGCCGCGUGAAGGAAGAAGGCUUUCGGGUUGUAAACUUCUUUUCUCAGGGACGAAGCAAGUGACGGUACCUGAGGAAUAAGCCACGGCUAACUACGUGCCAGCAGCCGCGGUAAUCCGGAGGAUGCGAGCGUUAUCCGGAUUUAUUGGGUUUAAAGGGUGCGUAGGGGGGCUGUUAAGUCAGCGGUAAAAGCCCGGGGCUCAACCCCGGCGAGCCGUUGAAACUGGCUGUCUUGAGAUGGCGGGAGGUAUGCGGAAUGCGCAGUGUAGCGGUGAAAUGCUUAGAUAGUGCGCAGAACUCCGAUUGCGAAGGCAGCAUACCGGCGGCGAUCUGACGCUGAGGCACGAAAGCGUGGGUAUCGAACAGGAUUAGAUACCCCAGUAGUC